GACGAACGCUGGCGGCGUGCUUAACACAUGCAAGUCGAACGGUAAGGCCCUUCGGGGUACACGAGUGGCGAACGGGUGAGUAACACGUGGGUGAUCUGCCCUGCACUUCGGGAUAAGCCUGGGAAACUGGGUCUAAUACCGGAUAGGACCACUGCCUGCAUGGGUGGUGGUGGAAAGCUUUUGCGGUGUGGGAUGGGCCCGCGGCCUAUCAGCUUGUUGGUGGGGUGAUGGCCUACCAAGGCGACGACGGGUAGCCGGCCUGAGCGGGUGAUCGGCCGCACUGGGACUGAGGUACGGCCCAGACUCCUACGGGAUGCAGCAGUGGGGAAUAUUGCACAGUGGGCGCAAGCCUGAUGCAGCGACGCCGCGUGUGGGAUGCCGGCCUUCGGGUUGUAAACCUCUUUCAGCAUCGACGAAGCGAAAGUGACGGUAGGUGCAGAAGAAGGACCGGCCAACUACGUGCCAGCCGCCGCAGUAA
rnacentral:rRNA from 1 species